GCAUCGCCUGUUAACAAGUGGAUAUAUGAUGCAUCGAGGCUCUAUCAGUACUAUCUGGACAAGACAACUCCACUUUCGGUUUACAGAUGGAUUGGGACUUUUGUGUUGGUUGUCAUUUACGCGCUGCGGGUUUACUCUGUUCAGGGGUUCUACAUUGUGUCGUAUGGUCUCGGGAUUUACAUACUGAAUCUUCUGAUUGGGUUUUUGUCGCCAUUGGCUGAUCCGGAGAUGGGAGGAGGUGGUUCAGAUGGGCCGUUGCUUCCAACCAAGGGUUCAGAUGAAUUCAAGCCAUUCAUCCGCCGCCUUCCUGAGUUUAAGUUCUGGUAACUACAUGUUCCUGUUUUCACAUUACUUGAGUUAAUAUUUUAUAGUUGUCGUAUUCUACAAAUUAUUAGUUAUCUUCUUUGGACUCAUGGUAAUUGUAAUGUCGUCCAAAUCUUAUGUUUUUGUUUGUUCCUGGAAAUCAUUGGUAGAUGGGUUAUUUAGAGAUAAAACGGUGUUCAAGUUUCAAGACUGUAAUACUUGUGUACUGUGCAAUGUGGUCUGGGGAAAAUGGAAAUAUUGGAAAAUAUGAGAACAUCUAGACUGUUUUAGUAUGUUAUGUGGAAAAUUGUAGUGAGGCUAAUUUGGCAGGUAUAUUCGUCAUGAUUCGGAAUACCCACACCAUUGCAUUUGACUAAAUUUUUUUUCAUCAAAGAACAUCAGUGUUCGAUUGGUUUUGUAAAGUAGGGAAUCUCAUUUUAUUUCUUUAUCAAAGGCCCUAGAUAUUUUUCAGAACUGAUUCUUUGGCUUCAUUCAUUAAUGCUGUUUGAAGUUUGAAGUAGGAUGUUAUUUUAGUUUUUUUUUAUAUUGUAAUCUCAUUUCUUAGAAUUGUUGGUCUUCUUUCCUCUUGCCAUUACUAUUUGUUGUUCCGACCUACCUCCCUUGUCAAUGAUGUAUGUGCUCUAGAUUUAACUGUCAGUGGCUAGGUAUCUAUAGAAGUUUUAGUCAAGGAUGGCGAAGAGUGGAGUGGAGAGUACUAGAUUUGUCUGCCUUCCUAAAGAGCUUGGUGUAAUGACAUUUAGGUUAAAAUGUGUCUUGGUGCAUGACUGGAGUACCACAAUGAGGGGCUGGAUCCGUUUCAGAAGGGUCUGAGGUUCAGUGGUUCAUUAGAAACUAUGGUGAAGUUGCGCUCUCAUGUGUGGUUCUUCAAGUGUAUAUGUUCCCUUAUCUACUUUGGGCAACAUGCUUUGUCACUUAAAGAGAAUGGGUAGGCUAUUGAUUAUCUGGCCUUGAAGGGAGCCGAGGUUCUUGCAAUACCUAUUUGUCCAAAACUUUGAUACUUAGGAACUAGGAGUAGGAGGAAACUAUCUCCGAAGGUGGUGGAAGGUGACAAGGAUGGGAUUUAAUGGCUGUGUGGGACCCAUGUUGUUAUCCUGAAGCUCUAAUCGUGGAGUCUUUAAUGAUGGAUAUAUAAAUACUGAAUAUAACAAUUCCAUGUCGUAUCUGUGCUUUACAUAUUUCAGUAGGAUUGAGUGGCUGCUUUCCAUAUUUGUUAUCACUCUUUUUUCUGAAAGGAAAAAAAAAAAACAGCAUCCGUGGAGUCUAUUAACAAGGGAAAUAGAAACACUAAAUAGAGAGUCACCAGUAACUUGAAAUGGUUACUUGAAGAUUCUAAUGCCUACUUAUAGCUUGCUGAACCUAUUCAAGCUGAGCCUUUGGCAAGCUUGAGCCAUUUCAUUUUUAUACAUUUAUCUAUGGCUUUGGUAAUUGGUGGAUGUUAUUGUUAGGUGUGUCUGUGUGACACCUGAAGCCGUAAAACCCUGUUAGACAGACAUUCUAUUAGCAGCUGUUGCUGCAAUGUAAGUUAGUGUUUUACCAAUGUGACACAUUACUUGAAGGUAGUCAAAUUAUUUUGUUGAUUGAGUUUGUCUGCUAUGACCUCCUGCUUUGUUGCGCCCUCUAAGGAUCUUCCUACAAUUUCUAUAUUAUCCUGAUUUAUCGCCACCAGAAACAAAGAUCCUGCCCAGAAUCUAGUUGAAAAGGAUUACACUUGUCUAAUCACCUUGGUUUCACAGUUCCUCUGAAUGUACUACUGUACUUACUAUCUUUUUAUCUCUCCUGUUAUUUAUAUUGCUUUCAUGGUUCAGGUACUCUUUCACAAAGGCUUUCUGCAUUGGAUUUGUCAUGACCUUCUUCUCUGUAUUUGAUGUGCCUGUCUUUUGGCCAAUACUUCUCUGUUACUGGAUUGUUCUGUUCGUCCUAACAAUGAGGCGCCAAAUUGCACACAUGAUCAAAUACAAAUAUGUUCCAUUCAACCUUGGGAAGCAGGUGAACUUCUAAUACUUAUCAUUAUGUGUGCAUGUGUGAUACAUAACCAUUUCUAGAAGCACCAUCUGUAUAUUAUUUUGGUUACUAGUGUUGCACUGUGACCUUUGUGGACCGUGAGUUUGAAGAAUAACUAUCUGGUUAUUUGUCUUUGACAGAAAUAUGGCAGCAAAAAACCUUCCUCAAGUGGCAGUGGCCGGAAUGAUUGAAGCCCAAUUGUUGCAUAACUAGAGCAUUUAGCAGUGACUGAUGGGGAGUUGUUUGUAGAAGAAAAAGUAGGC
rnacentral:lncRNA from 1 species